rnacentral:lncRNA from 1 species
GUCGUCCUCUUCUACAGAGUGCAUUGCUUUAGGAGGGACACACAUGAGUGGUGAGGGAGGAAGGGGACACCUGCCUUCCCAACCAGAUCAGCCAAACCAACCCUGGUGAUCAGUGGGGUGACAGGUGUUGUAGCCAGAUUGCCCUCACAUCCCUCCUGUCAUUUCUAAAUUUCCUAUAUCACCCUCCAUCAGAAAUGCAUACAGAGGUAGGCAACCUCAAAUAGUUUUAGUGAUCACAUGUUGGUAUGUACCUGGGAUCAAGAGGGAACUACACAAAAGACAUUACCUAAGUCUACUAUCGGAUAUCCAAUACUGCACUUUGAGUACCACUGAACUGAAGGAAGAAACCAGACAAUAGUUAAAUAGACAAAACUGGUUUUGGAGAGUCAUAUAGUGUUGGGGAAAUUAAUCCAGCAAAAGGACCUUGUGUACCAAUGAAUACGAUAAGAAUAGGUAAUGGGCCCCAAUUAAGGUUUUUUCCUUCACAUGUAAAGGCCACUCUAUGAAAAUAAUCAGAAACAUUCCAAACAUUCUAGCCAAGCCUUUGUUUGAGCUUUGGGAAAAUAGAAGUAGGGGCUGACCUGAAUGGAGGUUACAGGAAAGUUCAAACCCAAGGGCUAUAAAGAUUCAAUUAAUUAGAAGGUCACAGUCUGAACCAAUAGCAUUGAUACUUUUCAAGUAACUGUUUAGCACAGAUGGUGACAAAGUACUAACUUCGGUACUUUCCUAAGACCUGAUUAGCAUGGAUAUUGAUCAAAGCCCCUACUCAGGACCUAUAUAAACCCAUAGACUACUACACUGAGGGGAACCCCUACUGCAUCUCCUCUCAAGCUGUGGAAAUUCUAUCUCUUUUCUUCUCACUUAAAUAAAUCUUACUCUAUUGGGAGCCGUGUGUGAACUACAUGUGAACUAUUGCAAUGUUCAAGCCAUUAAGGCAGAGAAGCUGCUCUUCUGGGAACUCCUGGGUGAAAUUCCCUGUUGCAGAAAGCCCAGAUCAUGCUGACACCCUGACCUAGUUCACAGCUCCACGUUCAAACACAGCUGCUGGAGGUGUGUGUGACCUGCCAAGCACAAACAACCUGUUUAUCUCCACUCUCAUCCUGUUACCCCUGAAGAAGAUCCCUAUAGAUCCCCUUUGGUCUGUACCGCUAUAAAUAAAGCAAGCUCUGGCUUUUUCUUUGUUACAAGUCAGAUUUCUCUGGUCACUCAACCUGUCACUCCCCUGCCUAAAAAAUAUAGAAUUCUUGCCUUUUGUCUUUAUUUCUUGAUAUGUUACUUUCAUAUCUUAUUUUGUAGCCAGCCCAUCCUUCAGAUGGUUACAUCCCUGGCCCACUCGGGAUGAAGUGAAAGGAGAUUACUUCUUUCACUCUUGACUUCUGUUUUUUUGUCUGUGGAUUUCCUUUUUGGAAUUUGCAAGAACCUGGAAAGAAAUUGGCAGUGAGCUGCUAGGGUCUGCCAUUAAGUACUGCAACAUGCUGCUGGGUAGUAGCAGAGAAGAAUAGAGAAGAACCAGCUUUGCUGGUUGCAACCCUUGAUCCUCAGAGUUUAUGCCAGCAAGCCUCCCUUGCUGUGAUUAGCUGCUAAUGCCAAAACAGGUUUUCUUGGCUACAGAGGUCUGCAGUUUAUUCAGACCCCACCUGCCGGCAGAAGCAGAGAAUCAAGUUUCAUCUCAAACUUGGGUUUCACCAAUAUAGAAGAGAGAGAACAUAAUUUAAGUUAGGUAAGCAUUAUUAGGUAACAGAAAUGUGAUGACAAAGUCUGAAAUUUUCAUACAAAUUUAUAAAGAAAAAUUGGAAACAAC